CCCCUGUUACAGGGUAUUGGGAACACCAGGUGAAGCAAGCCCUCUUAUUGUAAAGGCCCAGAGCUAUGGGGCGAAGUGACCUUGAAUGCAACCUACAAGGCUGUGAUCCAACACAAGUACUUUCUCUCUCUGCACAAGUUAUCUCAGCUGCUGGCUAACACUGUGAGUCUCUGGAACAGUCUGUCUUCCCAUCACUCUGCUAUCCUUCUACCAGCACUUUCUCACUCUGACCACAGAGCUACUCCAUAAAUAGCUCAGGACCUGUGAGCUGCAUGCAGAGGUUUAACCUGAAGAGAAAAGCAAACAGCAGUUGAGUACUCAUCCUUGGUCCUCCCCUGGUCCCUAAUAAAACUUUCUGAU